rnacentral:rRNA from 1 species
ACAUAACUGAUGCCUCCGCGUAUCGACUUUGUGCGCAUUUUAGCUAUUAUGUGUUCUUUUAAUUAAAAUGAUUCUUUUUAAGAUUCAUCUAUUAAAAAUUUGCUUCGGCACAAUUUUUUUUGAUGAUCUUGUUACUUUGAGUAAAUUAGAGUGUUCAAAGCAAACAGAUAUAGCAUUUGUGCGUUUGAAUACUACAGCAUGGAAUAACAAAAUUGAACAAGUCAGAAUUUUUUUGUUCUUUUUUCUUAUUUUGGCUUAGUUACGAUUAAUAGGAGUAGCUUGGGGGCAUUUGUAUUCAGAUGUCAGAGGUGAAAUUCUUAGAUUUUCUGGAGACAAACAACUGCGAAAGCAUUUGCCUAAAAUACUUCCAUUAAUCAAGAACGAAAGUUAAGGGAGUGAAGACGAUCAGAUACCGUCGUAAUCUUAACCAUAAACUAUGCCGACUAGGCUUUGGAUGAAAGAUUUUAAAAUAAGAGUUUUUCUUUUCUCUCCGGAGAUUAGAACUCUUAGAUUGCUUCCUUCAGUGCCUUAUGAGAAAUCAAAGUCUUUGGGUUCUGGGGCGAGUAUUCGCGCAAGCGAGAAAGUUAAAAGAAUUGACGGAAGGGCACCACCAGGCGUGGAGCUUGCGGCUUAAUUUGACUCAACACGGGAAAACUCACUAGUUUAAGACAAGAGUAGGAUUGACAGAUUAAUAGCUCUUCCUUGAUUUCUUGGAUGGUGAUGCAUGGCCGUUUUUAGUUCGUGAAUAUGAUUUGUCUGGUUAAUUCCGAUAACGAACGAGAUCUUAACCUGCUAAUUAGCGGCAAAUACGAUAUAUUCUUAUGUAGAAUUGAAUAUAGUGGACUUGUUGGGAUUUUGAAGAAAAUAUUGGAAUUACGUUAAAUGUGAUUCCUUUCCCUUUUCUACUUAAUUUACAUUUCCAUCUAUUUCUUUUUUGCGUAUGAAUGUAUUUGCUUGAUUGUAAAGCUUCUUAGAGGAACGAUGUGUG